rnacentral:rRNA from 1 species
GAUGAACGCUGGCGGCGUGCCUAAUACAUGCAAGUCGAACGCUUUGUGGUUCAACUGAUUUGAAGAGCUUGCUCAGAUAUGACGAUGGACAUUGCAAAGAGUGGCGAACGGGUGAGUAACACGUGGGAAACCUACCUCUUAGCAGGGGAUAACAUUUGGAAACAGAUGCUAAUACCGUAUAACAAUGACAACCGCAUGGUUGUUAUUUAAAAGAUGGUUCUGCUAUCACUAAGAGAUGGUCCCGCGGUGCAUUAGCUAGUUGGUAAGGUAAUGGCUUACCAAGGCGAUGAUGCAUAGCCGAGUUGAGAGACUGAUCGGCCACAAUGGGACUGAGACACGGCCCAUACUCCUACGGGAGGCAGCAGUAGGGAAUCUUCCACAAUGGGCGAAAGCCUGAUGGAGCAACGCCGCGUGUGUGAUGAAGGGUUUCGGCUCGUAAAACACUGUUGUAAGAGAAGAAUGACAUUGAGAGUAACUGUUCAAUGUGUGACGGUAUCUUACCAGAAAGGAACGGCUAAAUACGUGCCAGCAGCCGCGGUAAUACGUAUGCUCCAAGCGUUAUCCGGAUUUAUUGGGCGUAAAGCGAGCGCAGACGGUUAUUUAAGUCUGAAGUGAAAGCCCUCAGCUCAACUGAGGAAUUGCUUUGGAAACUGGAUGACUUGAGUGCAGUAGAGGAAAGUGGAACUCCAUGUGUAGCGGUGAAAUGCGUAGAUAUAUGGAAGAACACCAGUGGCGAAGGCGGCUUUCUGGACUGUAACUGACGUUGAGGCUCGAAAGUGUGGGUAGCAAACAGGAUUAGAUACCCUGGUAGUCCACACCGUAAACGAUGAGUGCUAGGUGUUUGAGGGUUUCCGCCCUUAAGUGCCGCAGCUAACGCAUUAAGCACUCCGCCUGGGGAGUACGACCGCAAGGUUGAAACUCAAAGGAAUUGACGGGGACCCGCACAAGCGGUGGAGCAUGUGGUUUAAUUCGAAGCAACGCGAAGAACCUUACCAGGUCUUGACAUCCCUUGACAACUCCAGAGAUGGAGCGUUCCCUUCGGGGACAAGGUGACAGGUGGUGCAUGGUUGUCGUCAGCUCGUGUCGUGAGAUGUUGGGUUAAGUCCCGCAACGAGCGCAACCCUUAUUACUAGUUGCCAGCAUUCAGUUGGGCACUCUAGUGAGACUGCCGGUGACAAACCGGAGGAAGGUGGGGAUGACGUCAAAUCAUCAUGCCCCUUAUGACCUGGGCUACACACGUGCUACAAUGGCGUAUACAACGAGUUGCCAACCCGCGAGGGUGAGCUAAUCUCUUAAAGUACGUCUCAGUUCGGAUUGUAGGCUGCAACUCGCCUACAUGAAGUCGGAAUCGCUAGUAAUCGCGGAUCAGCACGCCGCGGUGAAUACGUUCCCGGGUCU